UUCAAGUCUCCAAGCUAAAUGCACAGUGGAUGGUUGCCUGGGUGACAGCCCGUAAACUAAGCAGUCUCUUUGCAACUAAACUGAAGGGCUUGUGCACACAGAACCAGCUUUAAUUAUCUUUUUUUUUUUUUCAAGUACUUUGGGAAAUAAUCAAAGAAAAAAAAUCUAAAUCUAUGUUGCUUUUAAAUGGAUCCCUUGUUGAAGUGUGGGGGUUGACAGCUGUCCCAGAAAAUCAGGGCCACGGUGAAUUAGAAUGAUGUUGACUGAUGUUUGGCUUGGUGUUUCUUCCACGGUAUACCAACUUCCUCGGCAAAACAUAUCACAGGUGAUUACAUGGAACUAAAAAGAUGAAUAAAAAUAAACUGAUUCAUGAUUUCCUGGAAGUAGUUUCAAGAGGUGAUGUGAAACUCAUCUGUGACCAUAUUAGUAAAGUCCAUUCCACCCUCGGAAACCUUAACUUUCAGCAUCCAAAGACUGGGAAUACACCUCUCAUUACUGCAGCAGCAGAAAAUCUAACAGAGGUUGUUGGAUUUCUUCUGGAAAAGGGAGCAGAUAUCACCCUUUGCAAUUACAGCAAUAAAACCGCAGUCCAUGUGGCUAAAAGUGAUGUUCAGAGGCAACUCCUGGCCAUGAGUGGAAUCCAGGCUCCCCAAAUGCAACUUCUACGAAGUUCGUGGCAAGGCGAUCUUGAACAACUUCAGCACUUGCUGCUCCCUCUCAAGACAUUGAGGAAGAAUAUCUUGAAGUUAAAAUGAGAAUUUGGCCAAGCAAUGAAAAUGCAAAGAUUAGUAUUAAUAGUCAUGCAGUAAAGACAUAACAGAAUUAAAGCUUCAUGUUUUUAAAAGGCAUCCGAAGAGCUCCUAGAUAUAAAUUUCCCGAACCAACAUGGCUUGACUCCUCUGAUGCUGGCUGUGAGAGAUGUGGAUCUGUUUGAGAGUCUUGAUAUGUUCACCCUCUACAGACCUGCAGAAGUUCUGUCUGAGCUUCUCAGACAUCACGCGUGAGUACAAGUGCUCAGUCAGCACCUGUGGGAGGGUGUCUCUGCCUGUGUUACUUUCAAAGUCAUUCGCAAACUUAGAUAUAUAGAUUGCUUUAUAAACACACACACACACACACACACACAUAUACACAUAUAUAAUACGUAUUAAAUUCUUUUUUUUUUUUUGUUUUGGCUGCACCAGGACAUAUGGAGGUUCCCAGGCUAGGGGUCAAAUCAG
rnacentral:lncRNA from 1 species